CCGAAUUUUUUGUGUUCAAAGGCUGUGUCCGUGUAAUACAGAUUUCGUUAUUGGAAGGAUCUAAGUUGUUAAUUUGUGUACGCGUCAAUCGUGCGUUUAUAUUUUCAUAUUUUUUUUUUUUAUAACCUUAAACUGACCGUCACCAUGUGGAAUUUGUCGUUCCUGUUGAAAACAUUGGUGAUUCUGUCGGUGUUGCCGUAUUCUAAUUAUGGAUUACCGUGUGUAACCGUACAACGCCCUACUGCUAUUACCUAUGUGGAAUCUCAGAAUAGUGGUCUUAUGUUAGGUCUGGCUGUUUUUGGGGCUGUCGCGUUAAGCGUGUUGCUGGUAGCUGGUCUUGUAACGCUUGUUUCUUGGUGUUACGUACGUCGUCAACGCUUGAAUCGCGCUUUUUAUGCCUUCCAGGCGCCACUUCCUGAGAGUAAUGUACUUGGUUCAGGAACAACGUCUCAUGAAACCUCAAUGGAGAGCGCGGUGUCCGGAUAACUGAUCUGGAUCGAUAGACAACCCGUCCGUUAAAAUUAUAAAACGUUUGGAUGGUUCAUCACGAUGAAGCGACCAUGGUUUGAUCUGCGGAGUGUCUAAGGAGAAUUUCUGGAGAAAAAUCCAGUAUAUUCGUUCGAUUAAUACCAACAUGUAGAAAUUUGGGUGGUCGAAUCAAAUCGUAUGUGAUGUGAGCUGAAUACCUCCACGUGCAGAAAGGACAGCUAGAGGAAUUAUCCAUAAAAAUUCUUGUCGUGA